rnacentral:miRNA from 1 species
UUAAACAGAGAAAUCACGAUUG